UUGCAACUCAACCAGUAGGUUGGAGGUGU
rnacentral:piRNA from 1 species